AAAAGAUAAUUUUUUCAGUCAACUUGGACACACAGCCACCUCUCAGAGGCAGGAAAAAAUGAUUCACAUUUACCAAUAGUUUCCACUGGCCCCCAGAAUCACAGCCAAGCUCAGAGGGGACACGUGAGCGAUGACAUUUCCUACUUCCAGACACAGUUCUCCCACUGCUUCAGCACCCACCUCCCCCGGGCAAAUUGUUAGGUGCUUCUGUGUCUCAAGGUCAUUCCUUAGGAAGUGGAUGGGAAUACUUUAUAGCUACCUCCAAUUCCCAUUAAUGUAAAUUCAUUAGAAAAUUUGCACCUGUUGUUCAUAUGUACAACUAAUUAUGGUGCAGAAUUGAGGUGGUGAGCAAACAGAAAGAGGUAAAGAUUAAGUACCGGAAGACACGUGAAAGGCAUAUACUGGGUGGUAAACAGUGAAGUCAGAAUUGCUGAAAAAUGCCUCAUUUCCAGGGGGGUGGUGGUUUUGAACCAUAUAAAAGGCUGCCCAUCACAGAGCUCUUCAUUCACUCCUUGUGUUCCUCUCACUUGUCCUCACUGGUCAACAGGCUUUGCCUACACUACCAACAACAUGCCCAACGGAGGUUGUGGAUGCUGUGGUGGAAAUAACUACUCCGUCUGCUGCUACAGCAGUCGGAAGUGCUGCAAGACGCCGUGCUGCUACCCCUCGCAGUGCUGCUGCCCCAUGACCUGCUGCAUGCCCAUGCAGACCUGCUGCUACACCAUGAACAAUGGAGGCUGCUGCGGUGGCAGUGGUGGUGGCUGCUGUGGCAACUAAAUCCCUGGGCACGAGGGAGGCAGGGCUGCGCUCUCCUCCUCUGCUGUGGCACUGCCUGCUGCUUCCCACCUGGCUCACUCCACCUUGGAUAUGGAUAUGGAUGUGGAUAUGGAUAUGGCCCUAAAUGCUCUUCCUCCUCUGCUUGGAGACUGCAGAUCUCUCCUUUUCUUUACUUGCCUUUAAUCACCAAAUGGCUGUAACGUGCUUUGAAGUUUCUACGCACUGAUCAGUGUGAUUUUCCUUUGUAAGCGUUAGUCCUGCUGUUAGUUCUUCCUCUUGGUGUGUGGGAUGUUGUUUUCAUCACUGUUUUGCUUCAGUCUGCCUGAAAAAAUAAAAUAAAACCUGUAGUUCAUGACACUGCAAAA